UACGUAGGCAGCGAGCGUUGUUCGGAAUUACUGGGCGUAAAGAGUGUGUAGGUGGUUUCUUAAGUCUGAUGUGAAAGCCCACGGCUCAACCGUGGAGGGUCAUUGGAAACUGGGGAACUUGAGUGCAGGAGAGAAGAGUGGAAUUCCACGUGUAGCGGUGAAAUGCGUAGAGAUGUGGAGGAACACCAGUGGCGAAGGCGACUCUUUGGCCUGUAACUGACACUGAGGCGCGAAAGCGUGGGGAGCAAACAGG
rnacentral:rRNA from 1 species